UCAGGUACAAAUCAGAUACCAAAGUACUAAAUGAAUACAGUGAUCAGCCCUUAUACUGGAUAUACUGAAUGUAUAGUAAAUGUAUAGUGAUUGUCUGCUGAGUGUUUUCUACUUGCGUGAGCUGGAGGGUAGUAUCUCCCAAAAGAGAGACUAAAACCUUGUGUCUCGUCGUUUUAAUGCUGAGCAGGCAGCGCAGGCAGUGCCUGGCGUCUGUAUCCGUGUCCUUGCCUGUCUUCGUGCCCUCGUGCCAGAAAUCCAGGUAGCUCACUGAACACUGCUGGCAUUCGAUCUUUUAAU